GAUGAACGCUGGCGGCGUGCCUAAUACAUGCAAGUCGAGCGAACAGACGAGGAGCUUGCUCCUCUGACGUUAGCGGCGGACGGGUGAGUAACACGUGGAUAACCUACCUAUAAGACUGGGAUAACUUCGGGAAACCGGAGCUAAUACCGGAUAAUAUAUUGAACCGCAUGGUUCAAUAGUGAAAGACGGUUUUGCUGUCACUUAUAGAUGGAUCCGCGCCGCAUUAGCUAGUUGGUAAGGUAACGGCUUACCAAGGCAACGAUGCGUAGCCGACCUGAGAGGGUGAUCGGCCACACUGGAACGGAGACACGGUCAAGACUCCUACGGGAGGCAGCAGUAGGGAAUAUUCCGCAAUGGGCGAAAGCAUGACGGAGCAACGCCGCGUGAGUGAUGAAGGUCUUCGGAUCGUAAAACUCUGUUAUUAGGGAAGAACAAAUGUGUAAGUAACUAUGCACGUCUUGACGGUACCUAAUCAGAAAGCCACGGCUAACUACGUG
rnacentral:rRNA from 1 species